AGUUGGCCUGCCAGGGCCACAGCUGGGUAGCUAUGUGCGGAAGGGAUAAACGCUGAAAGCAUCUAAGCGUGAAGCCCACCUUGAGAUGAGAUUUCCCAUCGAUAAGAGUAAGACCCCUUGAAGACUACAAGGUUGAUAGGCUGGGUGUGGAAGCACGGUGACGUGUGGAGCUGACCAGUACUAAUAGGUCGAGGACUUAACCUU
rnacentral:rRNA from 1 species